GACGAACGCUGGCGGCGUGCUUAACACAUGCAAGUCGAACGGAAAGGCCCUGCUUUUGUGGGGUGCUCGAGUGGCGAACGGGUGAGUAACACGUGAGUAACCUGCCCUUGACUUUGGGAUAACUUCAGGAAACUGGGGCUAAUACCGGAUAGGAGCUCCUGCUGCAUGGUGGGGGUUGGAAAGUUUCGGCGGUUGGGGAUGGACUCGCGGCUUAUCAGCUUGUUGGUGGGGUAGUGGCUUACCAAGGCUUUGACGGGUAGCCGGCCUGGGAGGGUGACCGGCGACAUUGGGACUGAGAGAGGGACCAGAGUGCUACGGGAGGCAGCAGUGGCGACUAUUGCCCAAUGGGUGCAAGCCUGAUGAAGCAACGCCGCGUGCGGGAUGAUGGCCCGCGGGUAGCAAAACGGUUUGGCCUGACACGAAGCGUGAGUGACGGUAACGGGUAAAGAAGCACCGGCUAACUACGUG
rnacentral:rRNA from 1 species